CGAGAUUCCCCCAGUAGCGGCGAGCGAACGGGGAGCAGCCCAGAGCCUGAAUCAGUGUGUGUGUUAGUGGAAGCGUCUGGAAAGGCGUGCGAUACAGGGUGACAGCCCCGUACACAAAAAUGCACAUGCUGUGAGCUCGAUGAGUAGGGCGGGACACGUGGUAUCCUGUCUGAAUAUGGGGGGACCAUCCUCCAAGGCUAAAUACUCCUGACUGACCGAUAGUGAACCAGUACCGUGAGGGAAAGGCGAAAAGAACCCCGGCGAGGGGAGUGAAAAAGAACCUGAAACCGUGUACGUACAAGCAGUGGGAGCACAGAGCAAUCUGUGUGACUGCGUACCUUUUGUAUAAUGGGUCAGCGACUUAUAUUCUGUAGCAAGGUUAACCGAAUAGGGGAGCCGAAGGGAAACCGAGUCUUAACUGGGCGUUAAGUUGCAGGGUAUAGACCCGAAA
rnacentral:rRNA from 1 species